GAUGAUGUAGCUCAGUGAUAGAGCACUUGUCUAGCAUGCCUGAGGUCUUGGGUUUCAUUUCCAGCACCACCA
rnacentral:tRNA from 1 species